rnacentral:lncRNA from 1 species
AUGGGUUUCCCCCAACUGCUUCUUUCAGUUGCCGUUUUGGCUGUGCCUGGCCAACCUGAAGCAAAUGCCCUGUCGGAGAAAAGGAUGCAUGAAAUUGUGAGUGGCAGUGCUCCUGCACAAUCUGACUAUGGGAAUUGCUGCCAUUUGAGAUACGGACUUCUGCUCAGGUCGCUGGUGGAGCUGCAGUCAUGGGUUGCUGCUGGUGAGUGGUGGCUAGACUGUUUGAAGAGGGCCCACGCUCUAGUGGAACUGUGGUUUGCUUCCAAGGUAGACAGAGCAAGGCAUGGCACACUCUUGCCUGCCUUUCCCCAAGCAUCCCCCACCCCUACCCACUCAGGACACGUUUCUCCCUCCAAAUAGGAAAAUAGAAACACAGCCUGCAUUUUCAGUAUUAAAUUUCAAUUUCUGGAUCUGAUUGGGAACAAGCUACCCGAAAAACGAAGUUAUAAGGCUUCUCCUUUUUCUUAUUUUUCCCCCUUUCAAAGUCUGUCUAGAAUCCUUUUAUGCCAGCUCCCUGGGGAGGUGCAUUGGCACUGUGGGAAACACUCCAAUUUGUCUUACGUGGUGGGAGGGUUCUUAAUUGUCAGUUUAAAAAAUAAUGAUCUGUAGCUGAUUAAAGAACUGAGGAAGCCUUAUACUUUGAGCCCUUUAAGGGGGUAAUUCCUUUAACUGAGUAAUUCCAAGCAGGUAAUUCAUCUAGGCAGGACCCUGAACAGCUCUGUAAAGCCCAAGACCAUCUAGGAACUCUUGAACUGUUUCAAAUUGUUUUGAAAUGGGUCUGAAUGCUGUUAAGAAAUGCAUAAUUUACGACCUUAACACUUGAUUAGUCGUUCAAUGACUGUUGGGAGACGUGUCCUUGGUAAUCCAGUUACCAUCCGAGACUCUAAUUAUCACUUCACAGGAGAAGUAAGGCUGGGUAAUUGAGAACCAAAAUUCUUCCAGGGCUGGAAGCAGCCAUUCUCUUCUAGAGUUAAGCAAACUACUCCUCUACUUGUAAGGUGUCUAAUUGGUACCAAAUGAUGGGAAGGAAGAGACGGUGUUCUGUCUUUCAGAAGAGAGUGAGUUGGGAGCUCCUGUCAAGACAGCACAAAGUUGUGCUACUAAGAGAUCUCUUCUGAUGAAAAAGAUUUCACUUUAUUUGAAAUACGUGUCAAAGAAGGGAGAGAAGGAGAAAGCAGGAGGCAGCCAAAAGAAGACAGAAUGUAAUUAAGAGCUGAUGGCCAUUCCUCUCCCCUGUCUGUCGUUACUAAGGAUUUUUCUCAGAUGAGACCCCAUUUCACCUUGUGUUAGUUCCCAUUGAUCACUAUAAAUUAUUUAAGCCACAAAUGCUGUGCCAUCCAUUAAAACAAGGAUGGGGAUA